rnacentral:lncRNA from 1 species
AUGGGACACCCUAACUUAGCGCACAAGAAAUGUGAAAUAUCAUGUGCCGCCCUAACUUAUCCAGUCCGAUACGGAGGGCGCCGAUGCAGUAGAUGCCGUUGCAGCGGGCGGCUCUGUUAUCUGAUUGGGCGCCAGCGAUCGCAUGAUCUUGUUUAUGCGUAGGCGGCUCUUAUCUCUUGUGAGCGCGGACGGCUCGCCGGCUAGGUUUCGGUGUAGGUUUAGAAGUAAGCUUUAGUUUAGAAUUGGACGAAUAAAUGAACGGAGCGUUCAUAUCAACUCCGACACAAGUCGUAAAACGUGUAUUGAUAUAAUUAUAUUGUUGAGCCUUAAGGGCCAACGAAAGAGAGGGCAGUUACCCUCUCAACAUAAUCUUCGGUAGAAGACUCAGUUGCCAACCGCAACCACCGUCCCCCGCUACAAGAGCGGGCCACGGGAACCCGAUCGCUGCCGCCGGAGCCAACGCAACGCAUACCGCAGCUCGGACCAAAAACGCCAUAAAGUUAAUUGGCGCCCAACGGGAUUUAGGAUCCACGUCCCCAAGAAAAAUAACAUGUAAGUGACUGUUCGGAAAAAAUAAAGCUUGUGAGAGAAUUUUUAUCUCCCCUUCGCUGAUCGUUCAUGAGUUGGGACUAUAGAAACAAGGUCGAGCCUAGACUUAUUGUACCAGCCACCAGUUAGAACAGUGCAGAAUCAAUUUAAAAUGGACCCAGCCAUGAUAAAAGCGUUAGUAGAAGGCGCAAUCAACACAGCCCUCGUCGAACAGGAACGACGACUGAGUGCAGAAUUUAGCAGGGAAAAAGUUAGAAAUAGUGUGAGCGAUCUAACUGUAGGUGUCCCUCAGGUGGAAACUUAUAAGAGAGUGACCAUUGACACUAGUAUAAAAUGUGAAGUUAAACUAGAACUUUCAACGGGAAUCAUGAGGAAUAUGUGUCUUGGAGACAAUCUGCGCAAGAUGCAUACGAAGUUUUCAAAAACUACUCUGGUAGGCAGACACACUACG